UUUAAAAGCAGAAAAGAUGAGCACUAGCCUCAGAAUGUCAGGAUGUUACAGCUCUUUUGCUAUGGAAAGCCUCAGCAGAAAGAAGGUGCACACUGGGGAGUGUCAAUCUGUCUUCCUUUGGCUCUGUCACAGUCCUAUGUCUCCCCCUUGGAAGGGAAUCCAGCUUCCCAUUUAGAACUUUCACAGGACUUCUCUGUGCCCAGACUGAGGAGGAACUUCAGAUCAGGAGCAGCCAGCCAGCCACCGAGCAAAAUGAAACUUCUUCCAAGACAAAGAUAAUAAAGUAUGUUUGAGCAACAUGAAACGAUAGUCUGAAGACUGCCGAUGCAAGGAAAUUCAGGGUUAAUGCUGCGUUACUUCAUUUUGAAGUCAACCCCAUUGUGUCUGUUUAUUGCAGGGGUCUUCAAACAGAGAGAUCUCACAAGAUGUGUCGAGGAUGCUAUAGCAGGCAGUAGGCUGAGCCCAGAGCCAGACUUUCAGAUGGUUAAAUGUAAAACUUCCAAAUAUUUUUUGGAGGGGAGGGGCAUCAGGGAGGGAAGAGGAGGAGGAUGGUCCCAGUUAGCAUCACUGGUGGUGGCUGUGCUGUGGGGUUCAAGGCAGCACAAAAGAAAAAGGCACUCUAUUACCCAGGGCCCUGCCUCAUUUUGCCUAGAUAUCAAGAUUCUUAGAGGUAUUAUUUUUACCUUGUCCUCGAAAUACCCACCGAUAAACCAAAAUCCGCCAUCCCUUGCAAAGCCAACAGUUUGCUCCUUAAAUGGGUUUAGUCUUCAUUUUAAUGGAAGUGAAACAUAGUCGACGGAGGCAAAUUAAAACCAUAUAAUUUUGUAAUCUUAGUUUAGCUAUAAUUGCGGCAAUAAAACAGUGGAAAGAAUAAUUGGGGAACAUAUGUUUGUGAGUGACAUUAUCUAGGUGACUUCCCUUUUACGGCACUGCGCUGCUGUCCUAUUUGUCUCCCCCUCCCUAUGCAUUGGAAUGACAAACCUGCGAGCCCAGAGUUAAUGCUGAUUGCGGCAGCUGCUUACACACCGAGUCUCCAUGGCAACCGGGGACGUUGCCACGCAACCGUAUUCUUUUAGGGACAGGGAAAAUGCCCAAAGGCUUACUAAAAAUACAUGGAAGAGGGAGAAAAAAAAUCUUAAAUUUUCUUACUACUGUUAAUGGGUAUAAGGGACUGCGCUUGUGCUUGAAAGCAGAGGUCAGACAAAUAAAAACCCAGCCCUGACCUUUCCAAAAUUGCCUGCCGUUGCUUGAAAUCUCCACCUUUAUUGACAAAGAUGACUUUUGAUCGAUUGUAAAAUUGGUAGCUAACACGCGGCAGCCCUCGCAGCCUGCAAGAUGCAGCGCCUGCCCAUUGCUAUUCUGGAGGGGUAGAAGGUCAGCUGAGAGCCAUCAAUGCCGUAUUGAUCAGCCGAGCUGAAAAAUGCCCAUGUUUCCAGCUCCUCGCACAGUGGGGCUGCGGCCCCAGCCUCCAGCACACUGUCGCCCUGGCACGCCACCGAGCGAGCCGUCC